rnacentral:rRNA from 1 species
UACGGAGGGGGCCAGCGUUGUUCGGAAUCAUUGGGCGUAAAGGGCGCGUAGGCGGCCACGCAAGUCGGAUGUGAAAUCCCUCGGCUCAACCGAGGAACUGCAUCCGAAACUGCGAGGCUCGAGUCCUGGAGAGGGUAGUGGAAUUCCCAGUGUAGCGGUGAAAUGCGUAGAUACUGGGAGGAACACCGGUGGCGAAGGCGGCUACCUGGACAGGUACUGACGCUGAUGCGCGAAAGCCAGGGGAGCAAACGGG